CACGUAGGGUGCGAGCGUUAAUCGGAAUUACUGGGCGUAAAGCGUGCGCAGGCGGUUUUGUAAGCCAGAUGUGAAAUCCCCGGGCUUAACCUGGGAAUGGCAUUUGGGACUGCAAGGCUCGAGUGCGGCAGAGGAGACUGGAAUUCCUGGUGUAGCAGUGAAAUGCGUAGAUAUCAGGAGGAACACCGAUGGCGAAGGCAGCUGCCUGGCCCAGAACUGACGCUGAGGUGCGAAAGCGUGGGGAGCGAACGGG
rnacentral:rRNA from 1 species